GUAAACAUGCGGGGGUGCUUGAUGUCCAAGUCCAUCAAGCUGAGAUAGGCAUGAACGCCUGACCCUUUGAACCUGUUGGUUAGGACCAACGUAGGGAGCAGAUCAUGAGCGAUG
rnacentral:ncRNA from 2 species